rnacentral:lncRNA from 1 species
ACACACGCACGUACCGGCUGCUCCGCAGGGACGUAGAGAGCCGCAGGCCCAAGGAGGGGCCGCCCCCGCCGAGCCCGCCCCUCCGCCCCAGCGCGGCCUGUCACCGCGGCCCCAGCUUCUUCUUGGUUUCUUCGUACAUUCUGGAUCCACCCCUUUCAUGCAUAUUCCAGACCACAUUUCCACUGGAGCAGUUGAAAUGAGAGAGAUGGGAAUGGGACUCACCCGAACCAGAGGAAUUUUUAUUACAGACCCAUUAACAGAGGUGUCAAAGUCACAGGAACAAGGAUGUGCACCUCAGAAACACAGAGGUCAGUGGAAAAUCAGUUUGCUUCUAUUUGUUUAAAAAAUGGGGGACUUAUGCAUAAAUCUAAGACCUUCUUGAAUCUAACAUUCUAAGACCUGUAUGCCACAGAAAGGAGGGUCUCAGAACGCCGGAGGAUAGUAUUUAAAUCUUAAAUAUCUAUAUUGUUCUCCACAGUUACUGGGUCACCACAUAGCAGGCAUUCAAUAAAAACGUGUUUGUUUACUAA